rnacentral:misc_RNA from 1 species
AAGUCGUAACAAGGUUUCCGUAGGUGAACCUGCGGAAGGAUCAUUAAAAGAUAACCUUAUGGGUUUUCUAAUCCAUAUCUCACCUUCUGUGCAAUGUCUACUGUAAGUUCCCUUUCGGUGUAGAAGUUUUGGUAUCAUGCGAGAAAGUCUUCUUGUGAGAUGUGCAACUACUACAUAAUGUUUGCCGGAAGGGAACACUUAUUCAAACCUUUUAUAUUACUGUGUUGUCUUAAGAUACUGCUGAAAAGCAAAAAUCUAAAAAUACAACUUUCAACAACGGAUCUCUUGGCUCCCA